rfam:Schistosoma mansoni strain Puerto Rico chromosome 6, complete genome
AUCCAGCUGACGAGUCCCAAAUAGGACGAAGCAGCACGCGUCCUGGAU